rnacentral:rRNA from 1 species
CCUACGGGGGACAGCAGUAGGGAAUCUUCCACAAUGGGCGCAAGCCUGAUGGAGCAACGCCGCGUGGGUGAAGAAGGUCUUCGGAUCGUAAAACCUUGUUGUUAGAGAAGAAAGGGCGUGAGAGUAACUGUUCACGUUUCGACGGUAUCUAACAAGAAAGCCACGGCUAACUCCGUCCUAGCAGCUGAGGUAAUACGUAGGUGGCAAGAGUUAUCCGGUUUUAUUGGGCGUAAAGGGAACGCAGGUGGUCUUUUAAGUCUGAUGUGAAAGCCUUCGGCUUAACCGGAGUAGUGCAUUGGAUACUGGGAGACGUGAGUGCAGAAGAGGAGAGUGGAACUCGAUGUGUAGCGGUGAAAUGCGUAGAUAUAUGGAAGAACACCAGUGGCGAAGGCAGCUCUCUGGUCUGUAACUGACGCUGAGGUUCGAAAGCGUGGGUAGCAAACAGGAUUAGAUACCCGUGUAGUC